rnacentral:lncRNA from 1 species
UUUUUAUUUUAUUUUUUUGCUUCAAUUAACUAACAUAUGGUUGAAUUCGCAUCUCCAACUCCAACCUAUUACCUUUAUUAAGUUUCCCACCAAAUUUUAUUAAGUGUCUCAUCUGUCAAGAUCAUCCAACAACUGUAAUGGCCUAGCUUCUCAAAAUUGUCCGUAACCGGGGACACGGCUAAUCAUGAUUAGUUUUUACACUUUGUAGAGGUUUUCACAUUGUACCCACUAGACCCAACCCGAAGGUUUAGACGAAGUCUUUCAGAAGCAGUCACCUCCAC